UCCUGCUCGAGUUCCGGUGCCUCCUCGGGACUCCGCGGGGAAACCUUAGGGAGCCGGUUCUCAGGCCCCUCGCACCUGGAGCGAGACUCCGGGUGGAAAAGAGGCAGCCUCCAGGAGCUGAGAACAGCCUCCCCACUCAUCCCCACCCCCAGCUAACAGCCAGCCAGUGAACAGAGGCCUCAGUCCUACAACUGCAAGGAACUGAAUUCUAUCAGCAACCGUAUGUGCUUAGAAGCACAUUCUUCCCCGAGUCCCCAGAAAGGAAUGCAGCCUGGCCAUCACCUGGACUUCAGCCCAGCAAGACCCUGAACAGAGACCCAGUCACACUGAUCUACAGAACAGGGAGCUAAUAAAUGGGUCUUGUUUUAAGCUGUUGUUUGUGGUAACCUGUUACAGAGCAAGAGAAAACGAAUACAGAGAUCUUAACAGAUUUCUCCAUAUUAACUCAUAGAGAAGAAAGAAUGAAACACUACGGAGGCUUUUCUUGCCUUGCAGGAAGUGAACACUGAGGUACACCUCCAUGGAGGAAAAGGCAAGACUGUGUAAGGUCUAAAUAUACAAAUUCAGAUGAUUUGAGCAAAAGCCUCAUGAGAGUUGAGACUCUGAGAUUAUGAACAUGUUAUUAUAAUCCACACUGGUGUUUUUAGAACUGGGAGUAUGUUUUAUUUCCUAGGGAACUAGGGUUAUAAAUACAUCUCAGUUCUUCCUAUAAGCAUGCCAGAUUGGAGUCAGAUGCAGCUUCAGACCCCAGCUUUGCCAUUUUACUUGACAUUGGGUAAAUAAUCUCUCUAAGCCUCAGUUUUAUCACCUAUGGAAUGAGCAUGAUGAGGGUGUUAGGUUUAGAUGAGAUACUACAUAUGUGUUCUUAGCACAGUCCCUGACGCAAGCUCUCUAGAAAUCAUUGCCACACAUAUGUACACAAGAUGGAUAAAAUAAUCAGUGCUUGAAAUAUUCACAGCCCCCUUCUGCCCCCUCAAAUGCUAAACUAUACUGAUGUUGACUAAUGAGCAUUGCCCCUUUGCUCUCCUCCUGUUUUCUGCUUAUUCUUUAUUCAGUACAUGAAGUAGUCAAUCAAGAGAACAGCUGGAGAAGUUGGGUAGGAGAUUCAAGUAGGCAAGGGCUAAAAUGAGAGAGGUGACUAGAGGAGUAGGGAGAAGGCUAAUGGGUGGGGGUCGGGAGAAGGAAAGAGGAGAGAAGAUGAAGGUAACAGGAAGGGUUAUUUGUAAGGAGAGUGGAGAGAGAUGAAGAACCUGGACCAGACGAAUAAGAGAGUUUACAAAAAUAUGAGGGAGUCCACACUGACAUAAAUACAUGAUUGAAUAAAAAAGAAAGGCAAGUGAAUAGACAAAUUCCCCGUGGAGAAGAAUUCCAAAUAAUUUGUGUAGAUACUUCGCCCUCAAGGAAGUGGAACAUAACCCUCCAUUCUUUAGGUAUGGGCCAUGCAUAGUGACUUCUACCCAAAGAGGACAGUGUAGAAGGAGGGUAUAGCUCAGUGGUAGAGUGCGUGCCUAGCAUGCACAAGGUCCUGGGUUCAAUCCCCAGUACCUCCAUUAAAGGUAAAUAAAUAAAUACCUAAUUACCUCUCCCCCCCGGGGUGAGGGUGGGGAAACUAAACACAAAAGAGGACAGUAAGGGAGAGAGGAGUCAGAAGGGAAGAAGGGAAUGACUUUACAGAAGAGAAACCCAGCAAACACUACCUCAGCCAGGUGAUCAAGGUUUCAUACGAUGUGAUGAGAACUGCACUUGACCUCUGUGGUCUUCCUCCCCCAAUGCAUAAUCCAGUCUAACCAUGAGAAAAACAUCAGACAACUCCUUAUUGAAGGACAAUUUGUAAAAUACCUGGCCAUCUGCUCCUCAAAACGAUCAAGGUCAUCAGAAACCA